rnacentral:lncRNA from 1 species
UUUAUUGUGCUUUAUUUCUCUUGUCAGUCUCUUUGUUUUCAUAAUCGAGGUUUCCUCUUCGCCUGCUGUUUGCUCGUUUUCCUUCUGCUGUUUUUCAGGUGUUAGUUUAGUUUCCUAUUCUGUUCGUUUUUUUUUUUUUUUUACCUCUGUCAUGGUUUUACUGUUAGUUUUUGGUUAUCUUCUUUUUUGCUACUUUUUAGGUUUCUGUUUGCUCUUACUUAAUUUAAUUUCCCUUUUCUAGUUUUGUCAGGGUUUAGUUUUAGUUUUUGUCGUGUCGUGUUGUGUCUUCUAGAUUGCUUUAGGUAUGUUCCUUUGUCUUUAUUUUGUUACUUAUUUUCUCUUAUUUUUUGGAGACCCUUGCAGGUUGCCAGGUUUGUAUAUGAUCCUCUCUUCUACUUCUCUUUAUUUUUUGUUCCAAUUUAUUUGGUUCCUUGUGUUCAUUCAAUUUGGUUUCUUGGUUGGGGUUCAACUCCUUUUGUAUUGUGCUGGGUUGGUUCUUGCCAUUUUUCCUUUUCU